AAUUAGAAAACUAUAAAUUCCGGCGCGGAGUCGGCGUCGGUCUUGCGGUCUUGCAAUUUUCCACCGCCAUUUUGUUCUUGACAGUGAGUGAGGUUACGAAUAUUGCGCGGUGCUGUGAUUUUAUAGCAUAAGUGAGUGAAAUUAAACAAAUAAACAUAAUGGUACCGCAAACGAAAGUGUUCGUCGGUAGCCUGCCGCAGGGCUCCAAGCCGGAGGAGCUCCGUAAACUCUUUGAACGCUUUGGCGUCGUCACAGAAUGCGACAUCAUGAACCGUUGUGGCUUUGUCCACAUGCAAACAGAAGAUCAGGCCUCGGCUGCUAUCAGGGCGUUGAAUAACACCACCUUCAACGGCGGCGUCAUAUCAGUUGAGCGCGGGAGAAUUAAGGAGCGCGGACAGCGCAGCGGCGGCGGUGGCCCCCGCGGCGGCAUGCGAGGGGGAAUGCGAGGCGCCAUGGACCGGCGCGGUGGCGGUGGCGGGCCCAUGCGAGGAGGUCCCGUCGGCGGCCGCGACGCGCCCUACAUGCGAGACCGUCCCAUGGGCAUGCGUGGUGGAGACAUGCGCGGGCCACCGAUGGGCGGCGGUGGCAUGGGCAUGAGGAACGGCAUGGGCGGCGGCGGCUACGACCGCGGCAUGGACCAGCGAACGAUGACCGGCGGGUACGACGACCGCGGCUACAACGGAUACGGGGGCGAGGACCGGCGAGGUUUCGCCCUUAUGGACGGCCGCUCACGCGACCCGUAUGCGGCACCGGCUCCCAUGUACCCAGAUGACAGACGAGGAUAUGGUGCCGCUCCAGUAGAUGAUAUGUCAGGCAUGUAUGCUGACGACAGAAGGCAGCCGAUGUACCCUGAGGAUACAUACGACAGACGAGCACCCAUGCGAGGAGGCCCUAUGCCAAUGUCUUCAGGAUAUGACAGGCCAGCACCAAGAUCUGCUGGUAUGGGCAAUGGUGACAUGUUCAGCAGAAGGACACCUCCACCCAUGCGUGGCGGAGGCGCCGCGGCCGGCUACGACCGGGACCCCUAUGCUCAGCAGUACCCACCCAUGGGACGCGGCGGCGGCGGCGCGGCGCGCGGCGGUAGGGAGCCGGGCGGCCUCCCGCGCCGCUACUAGCGCCGCCUCAAGCGGCUAGGUAGUGUCGUAGGUAGCGCGCGACGUCAACACUAUACAUCCGUUGUCUUCCGGCGGCUCUGAGCUCGGCUCGUACUCGUGCGUGCGUUUGCGAACCGUUCGCGCUCCGCACUCCCGCGACCGACCACGCAGUUAGGUCGAUUAACUAUGGUAAGGCGGCUAGAAUUGUAAGUCUCCAUCCGAAUACAAUUAUGUGAAUCAUUUUAUGAAUUAAUAAAUAAAUGAGGAUAAAUCAUAACGGAACGUUUUCAUUUCACCCGCUGAUCAAUAUGGUCGCGAUAUAUCCGAUAUUGUCUUACGAUUAGUUUUAUAUAAAGAUCGAUUUCAUAAAAUGCUGACAUGAACAUGUUUUAAAUAAUUUAGAAAGUAUUAUUUAUGCUGUAUAAUUUACUUUUAGAUUAAAUAUCUUCAUUGGUAGAACAUUUUUAAUUUAAUCAUCCCUUUUUCGGUACUAAAAAUAUAUCUAAAUAUAUCUUCAAUGCAUGCCUUUCUCAGUGUCCCCUCUGGCUUCUUACUGCUUCUGUGGUUGCGGUCCUUAUGUUAAAUUAUUCUACAUUAUGGUUUUAUUGCAGGACUGAGACACGUGAGGUCUCUCGACCGCAAUAUGUCCGAAUACUUUGAUAACGAGGGCCCGUUCCCAGUAGUGGUUGCCGCCGUCAGCUGCGCCACAGGAACGCCUCACUCUCGUUCCACACGUGGAUUACAGAGCUCUUGCGAUUACUGACAGUUUUAGGAAUAGGGGCGUAGCAAUGUAAGCUAAUAAAAAUAUAUUAAUAUUGAAACGGUGCUAUAUAGUCAAUUAACGCAGUUACAGACUACUUCAAAGUAGGUAGGACGUCCAAAACGUUGAAGUAACGGUGAUAUGCUGAUAAUCUAGUCUUGCGUACUUGCCCAUAAUAGUCACUUCGUAAUAUUUUAAUUGGUUCUAAUUACGUUGUCACCGAUACACAUUCCUACUCUCGCUACGCCCCUAUGGAAGCAAACAGGCGUAAAUACGUUGCGAACACUGGCUCUGUAAUCUGUGCAUCUCUCGAAAUGUUUGUGCCUAACGUUGUGCAAGCGUCGGCUUUCACAAGAAAGCGCGUGCGAGUCCUUUCAGAUAGUUAGGAGCGGCAUAACUCGGCACGACACGAGCGUAGCCGGCGGCGAUGCAUACUCGAUGCUAUGACGUUGCUCCAUGUCACCACGUAUACGUUAGGCGACGGCUGAAGACGGCGAAACGCAAUCGGACUGGUCGCCCGGAUGAAGUCAGCUCCAGUGUGAGGCUAGUGAAGACGGCUCACACAGGAUUAGUGGAAUAAAAGCCCCGAUGGAGGCGCUCUAUAUUAUGUGCAACCCUGAAUAUUUGUAACUGAGAAAUAAAAUACUUUGUGUCGUA
rnacentral:misc_RNA from 1 species